rnacentral:lncRNA from 1 species
AAUGGGAAAAGAACAAAACGGAAGCCCUUCCAAUACCUGAGUUCAACUACAGUUGGCCAGGAGUGGUGGCUCACACCUGUAAUCCCUUUGGGAGGCUGAGGCAGGAGGAUCCCUUGAGGCCAGGAGUUCAAGACCAGCCUGGUCAACAUAGUGAGACCCCCAUCUCUACAAAAAAAUAUAAAAAAUUAGCAAGAUGUGGUGAUGCAUGCCUACAGUCCCAACUACUUGGGAGGCUAAGGAAAGAGGCUCACUUGAGCCCGGAUGUUCGAGGUUACAUUAGCUGUGAUUGUGCCACUACGCUCCAGCCUGGGCAACAGAAUGAGAUUUCUGCCUCAAAUAAAACUACAGUAAUCAAUAUAGUGUCAUAUUGGUGUAAAGUUAUACACACAAGAAGAAUGGUGUCCAGAACAGACCACUUCUAUGUCACUUCAGUUUUUACAAACCUGUGAAGACUUGGUCAUUGGGAAAGUAGAGUCUCAACAAAUAGAACCGAACCAACCAACCACACAGAUAAAAAAGUGAAUCUUGACCCUUAUCACAUAUGGUACACAAAAAUGAACUCAAAAUGGAUCACAGACUUAAAUGUAAAAGGUAAAACUAUAAAAGUUCCAUAAAAAUAAAAAACAUAGGAAAAAAUCAUGUCCUUUGAGUAGGCAAAUUUCUUAAACUCAAAUUAUUAUAAAAUAUCAUAAAUCAUUAUUAUUAUUAUCUUGGUUUACUGCAACCUCUGCCUCCUGGGUUCAAGUGAUUCUCCUGCCUCAGCCUCCCGAGUAGCAGGGACUACAGGGGUGUGCCACCCGCCCAGAUAAUUUUUGUAUUUUUAGUAGAGACGGGGUUUCACCACGUUGGCCAGGCUGGUCUCAAACUUCUGGCCUCAGGUGAUCUGCCUACCUUGGCCUCCCAAAGUGCUGGGAUUACAGACAUGAGCCACCACACCCAAAUCUUUGAUAAAUUAGGCUUAAUAAAAAAUAUUCAAAAGACACCAUUAAGAAAAUGAACAGGCAAACCAAACAUGAAAAUAUUCACAAUAUUUGUCACAAAUGGAGACAAAGAAUUCUAUAUAUUACAUGUAUGUUUUUCAUGCAGAAUAUGGAAAGAACUUGAGUCAACAAUAAGCAUCCCAACUUAAAAACAGGGAAAUGGCUCGGGGUUCAUACACGAG